rnacentral:tRNA from 1 species
GCCUGGGUGGCGGAACAGGUAGACGCAAGGGACUUAAAAUCCCUCGGAGCAUAGCUCUGUGCGGGUUCAAUUCCCGCCCCAGGUACCA